CAAAAGGUAAAUUGUUCUUUUUUUUCAUUUGACCAGCAUAAUGAGAAAUUAUGUGAUGCUGAUAAUAGUUAAGAACUCUUUUGCAAUGAACAGAAAAUGUAAGUGAGAAAGCCAUGGCCAAAAGGGCCUAUCAUACCUUUGUGUAUUCUAAAACAAAAGUAGUUCAGCUUUGAAAAGAAAGGAAUAGCAAAUAACCACAAGUUUAUGAAAAGGAAAGAUUGGACAAAGGCAGAUGCCAAUAUGUUCGCUGGACAUUUUACAAGUAGAGAUGUCUUGGCUGCUAAGUUAUUUUUUAUCCUUGGGCUAAUGAUUUGGAAGUAUGAUUACUAAGUGGUCAAUUGAAGUAUAAAUCUAUGCAUUCAUAACUUUAGGAAAAGUUCUUGGAAGCAAGGAUGCUCCAUUUAUAUCAACCAGGAGAAAGGAUACAGGUCCAUACCGCUCUGCACCAGCCAGUACAUACCCUACCAGAUAUAAGCUUGUAUGAUAGGGGCCUGUAUGCACCAGUAUUACGCAAAUCAGGGAUACAUUAUGUCUUAUAAAGGCAUAAGACCAAUAUAGCACACGGUACUCUUUUUUUUUUCUUGCUCAUAUGUACUGAGAUGUAUCAAGGCGUACUGCACCUGCACUGCCUGUAUCAAGGGUCUUACCACACCAACCAGCUAUUGAUGCAGUACCAAUCCUCAAAGUUUAAAGCCUUGCAACAUCAUGCACCACACAUUGCACAAAUCUCAUGUUGGAUAAUGCUAGGAAUGUUGCACAAAUAUAUUGAACUCUGGAAAGUCAAUUGAAUGAACAAAAAAACUUAUCUAUCAUCAUUCCGGUGUAGUAAAUAUGAGAAAGUCUGCAAAGAAAUAUGAUUGACUGGACUGGGUAUAACUCCAAUGACAUUAGUCAUAAUAUCAUGAUGCAUCCACAAUCUAAAGAAUGAUUUGAGAAGAGUGUUCACUUUCAAAAAGUGGUUGACAAGUAGAUGGACAAAGGACAAGUAGAUGGACAAAGGACGCAAAGGGCAAACCAGGUCAGCAUUUACUACAAUGCACUUAAACGUGAUGCACCUUUUUGGUUCUUUGGCUCAUCCAUAUUAAAAUAAAGAAACAGGCUGUGUCAUGUAAACUCAAUUUACAAAUCACUUUAAACUGUUAUACCACCAUCAUGUCAACCAUGGUGCCUAACUAGGCAUAUGAGAUUGAUACUUCAUUCUCAUAAAUAGCACACCUAGUCAGGCCCAAUUCCUUGACUUCUUUUAAAUUGGAUAAGGAUGGAAAAGUCCAUAAGCUAAGCCUCUCCCAAAAGAUGAUCUUUCUUCCCUUUGAAUAGUUCUUUAUCUGUCCCUCUGUGAAGAUACAGUCAUACAGAUAUGUAGGUACUAAAAGUUGGAAUCGCUUUUCUUUUCCCCUCAAAAUAGUAUCAAGUUUUAUCCAAAUAACUAUACAUUUGGCUUUUUAAUCCUUUCAAACAAUUACAGAUCAGCACAUAAACUACCGUACCGGCCCAUACCGGCCCGGUACAUACCGGUCCGGCCCUAGACCGGUACCGGAUCCGCGUGAAAUCCGAUACCGGGUUGUUUUUUUAGCAGAGUACUAGUCGGUACCGGUUCGCACCGGUACGCAAUUUUUUUUUUUAAACAACCACAGCGCCGCGCGCUGUGGUUUUUGACUUCUGUCGCUUUUGAAAUGAAAGGACUGGCCGAGAGCCACUUUUUUAAACUUGAUGGCCGAGACAGCAAGAUUCUGCGCCUCGGCCUUCCUCACUCGUUCGAUUAUAAAAACCGAACGAGAGCAUUCAAACUCCAGAGUUCUUAAAUUCAGUGAGUCUCUGAGGAGUAACCAGAGAAGGGGAUUUGAGAGAUAGCCCACAAAUUCAGGAGGAGGUCCUUCCCAAAAAAAUCCAGCGGAGACUAUUUAAGGUGUGGUUUUUUUGUCCUAUGUUAUUUCAUUAAUUUUGUUAAUAAGUAACUUAAAAAAAAAGUUUAUAAAUUGCUUAAAAAAUAAGAUCAUGUGAAAAUUUACUCCAUUAGCUUAAUUUUUUGAUAUGUUGAAAAUUUAUGAUAGAAAUGGAGCCAUCAAGAAAAACGAACCCUACAAUGCGUGAUGUUGGUUAGUCUUAUGGGCGAAGACUUGGAAGAGAGGAGUAACGGCACCAGUUUUAAUGCAACUUUUGCGACAAGAUUUUCAAGGGAGGAGAGGUAACCAAGUUGAAGCAACACUUAGACGGAAAUUCCGGUGAGGCUGCUACGUGCCCGAAUUGUCCUAGCGAGAUUCGUGUGCUGAUGAGGCAGAAUCUCGUUGAGGUCAAAAAAGCGAAGGAGAGGGCUUCCAAGAAGAGGGCGGAGGUCGAUCGCCGAGCGGCAGAGUCACCUUCCUAUCACUCUAGGGAGCCAAAGGAGGUUGAGGAUCUAGAUGAGGAGGAGGCAGAUAUUCAGGCAACCAUGCAGGCAAGCCUAAAUGAUCAGUGGCAGCAGGAGGAGGUGGCCAGGCAUAGGGCUCGAUUUGGGCCCUCUGCAUACGAGUCGGGUGGCGGUUCUGGAAGCACUAGACAAGAUCCAGAGUUCUUGAGGACAACUUCAGUCAGGGAGGGCGUCGGCAAAGAACGUGGCCGGAUUGCAUCUAUGCUGGGUAGUUUUGGUAGCCGAAAGAAGUCAUUUAGAGAAAUUCACAAGGAGCGACAAUUCAUGAUGUAGAUCUGCAUGUUCUCCCCAGCAGAGAUUCAAGGCAGCAGAGGGUAGACACAAUGUGGAUGAAGGAUAAGAAGAAAACUAUGUGGCGAGCUAUUGGAUCCUGGUUUCACUUCAACCAUAUCCCAGCGAAUGUGGCAGACAAUACAUAUUACAGGUCUGCCAUUGCCGCCAUACAAGCUGCCGGUCCCGGUGUAGUUCCUCCAGGACCGAAGGAUAUCUACGGUGAGCUUCUUGACAACAAUAAGGAGUUGGAGAAUUGAAUUGACUCCUACAAAAGCAAAUGGCCCAUAUAUGGACUAACCAUCAUGUGCGAUGGUUGGACCCAUCAGACCAGGCGAAGCAUCAUCAAUUUUCUGACAUACUAUGAUGCGAAGACCUUCCACAAGUCGGUUGAUGCUUCGGCUUAUGUGCACAACACCGCAUACAUGCUGAAACUUAUGGAGGAUGUGAUUGAUCUGGUAGGAGAGGAGAAUGUCGUGCAGGUCGUCACUGAUAAUGGGCCGCAAUAUAAAGCUGUCGGACAGAUCUUGAUGGAGCGGCGCCCAUAUAUUUUCUGGACCCCAUGUACUGCACAUUAUAUCGAUCUCAUGCUGAUGGACAUUGGAAAGAUCCAUAGAGUGCAGCAAACGGUGGAGGCAGCCCAACGCAUCACCAGAUAUAUUUAUAACCAUAACUGGGUCCUUUCACUGAUGAGAAAGUAUGCGGGGAGAGAGAUUCUGAGACCACAGUUUGCUACCAACUUCAUCGCACUUGAUAGCAUUCUCGAGAAGAGAGGAGCCCUACGUCAGAUGUUUGUCAGUUCCGAGUGGCAUGAUAGUAGAUAUUCUUAUGCCGGCACUGAAGGGAGCAAGAUGAAGACUUGGUGACGAGACAGUCAUUCUGGCAGUGGGCUACUACAAUAGUCAAAGCUAUCAAAUCAUUAUAUGAAGUGCUGCGGGCCGUAGAUAGCAAGAUCUACCCCCAAAUGAAAUUUUUGUAUCACAUGAUGGUCAAGGCAAAGGAUCAGAUUAUGGAGGCAGAUCCAGUGCAUGGCUGGUCGUACAUCAACAUCAUUGAGCGACGGUGGGGAGUGCAAAUGGGUAAGAAAUUACAUCUAGCAGCAUACUACCUAAACCCCCGGUUUCAAUACAGCAUAGAUGGAAUUGGUAUGGAUGAAACACUUCUGGAUGCUUUGUGUAAUGUGAUUUACAAGAUGGAGCAUGAUCCAGAAAAAGCGACCCUAUCUUGAAGAGGUAAUUAUGAUUUAGUAAUUACCAGCAUGUGUAAAUAUACUGGCAUCUUCAAUUAUUAACAUGGUAGAACAUGCUUAUUUUUCACAGAGCAAAUUUGGUGUGGACAUUAGUACUGGACUGAUUAUUUUGCGAGAUCACGGUCGUCGCAGGAGGACGGUCCAGCCACUUUCGUUGUGGUUGGAUUGAUUUAUGUUAUUUUUUUGUUACUUUAUGUUAGUAGGAUUAAUUUGCAUAUUGUCAUUUGAGGACCUUGUUCAGAUUGUUUUCUUUGUAGGAACCUAUCUGUUAUUUUGUGGCCCUAUAUGUAUAUGGGGCAUGCAUUUGUUUUUUUUUAAUGAAAUGAUGCAUGAAAAUUAGUCUUCUUCCUCUUCCUCCUCUCCUCUUUUCUUUUUCUUCCCCUCUUCUUCUCCUCUUUCACUCUGCCUCUCCAUCCCUUACCUCCGUCCUACAUCAGCUUUGGUAUCAGAGCAGGCCCGACUUUGCCUCUGUUGCAGAAGUCAAGGGAUCCAGUUUGUGGACGGACCCCCGCCGAUUCCUUUUCGGCCUUUUCCUCAUCUGCAUUUUGCUGGAGUAAUUGCACUGCGGACGUCGGAUCGUACGGAGGAUUGCUGCACAGCACGCAUUUCGAAGAAGGGGCGUUUCCUUUCUUUCUUGUUUUCUUCUCUUUCCCUCAUCUCAUCUCCCGUGCAGAAAAAAAGAGCAAAGCUCUCCCGUCGGUCGCUUCCCACCCAUCGCCACUCCACCGGUUCCCCCACCACACGCCGUCGUCGCCUCUGUCUCCCACCGCCUCCGUCUCCCUUCCUCUUCCCCUUUCUCUCGGUUCCCGCACAGAAAGGGAAAGCCCCGUCGCCGGCUAUCCCCACAGCGGCUCGGGAGGCAUAUAAGCCGGCCUCUGCGUCGUGUUCCUCUCCAGUCGUCGUCGCGCUUGCACCCGCCGCCGCCGCCGCUUCGCCGCGCCGCCGAUUCGCCAUCGGACGCCACCGUGCCUCCCCGAAAGCUUCGGCCGCAUCUUGCGGCCACCGUCCGUCGCCGGAUCCAGGAGGACGCCGCCGCCGCCCCAGCACGCUUCUCCACCGGCGAACGCCUCCCCGCAACCACCGCCGCGAAAUCAGGCGCGAUCCCUCAAAAUCGUCGGAGGUUGAAGACGAUCUGCUGUGCGGGUAAGGUCUAGACCCGUUAGCCCAUUACCCAUUAACCCGAACAAAUUCAAAAAAAAAAA